AUUGAACGCUGGCGGCAUGCCUUACACAUGCAAGUCGAACGGUAACAGGUCUUCGGAUGCUGACGAGUGGCGAACGGGUGAGUAAUACAUCGGAACGUGCCUAGUAGUGGGGGAUAACUGCUCGAAAGAGUGGCUAAUACCGCAUGAGAUCUACGGAUGAAAGCAGGGGAUCGCAAGACCUUGUGCUACUAGAGCGGCCGAUGGCAGAUUAGGUAGUUGGUGGGAUAAAAGCUUACCAAGCCGACGAUCUGUAGCUGGUCUGAGAGGACGAUCAGCCACACUGGGACUGAGACACGGCCCAGACUCCUACGGGAGGCAGCCGUGGGGAAUUUUGGACAAUGGGCGAAAGCCUGAUCCAGCAAUGCCGCGUGCAGGAUGAAGGCCUUCGGGUUGUAAACUGCUUUUGUACGGAACGAAAAGCCCCGGGUUAAUACCCUGGGGUCAUGACGGUACCGUAAGAAUAAGCACCGGCUAACUACGUGCCAGCCGCCGCGGUAA
rnacentral:rRNA from 1 species